rnacentral:rRNA from 1 species
UACGGAGGUGGCAAGCGUUGCUCGGAAUCACUGGGCGUAAAGGGCGCGUAGGCGGGGAGGUAAGUCGGGUGUGAAAUCCCUCGGCCCAACCGAGGAACUGCGCCCGAGACUGCUUCUCUUGAGUCCCGGAGAGGAAGGUGGAAUUCCCGGUGUAGCGGUGAAAUGCGCAGAUAUCGGGAGGAACACCGGUGGCGAAGGCGGUUCUCUGGGCCUGACCUGACGCUGAGGAGCGAAAGCGUGGGGAGCGAACAGG